UCGUCACGAGCAAACGGCCCACCGAGCCGACCAAGCACUCGGCCACGGCGAAACAUCUAACGAAGCAGAUCCAAUCGCCCCCCCUAAAAAAACUUCCUAUAGCCCGCCCCUGUCUCCCGGUCUCCCCCGAUUCACCUCGUGGACGGCCGAUGAGCCACGGCUGCAGCGGCGGCGCGCCCUCUUCUCCCCUGAUUCGCCUGAUGUACUGUGUCGAUUCAACCAGCCCCAGCCUCUUGCCUUGACUGGAUGGGCCCUUUCUCAGCCACUCCUCCCGGUCGGAUCCAAUGGCGACCGCACGUCACCGGCCUCACGGGUGUGAGAUUCUAGCAGAAGCAUCGGGCGUCACGUCAGAAGUGGUAACACGGUGCUCCAGAGAGAUAUCGAGGUGAUGGAGGCGAGGGCAGGUGCUCUGUCUGCCUUGGCCGUUCGGUUUCCUCUAGACCGAGAAGGAGCGAACGCAGCUGCGCCGGAUCAAGUGUGCAGCCUCUGCCUGAUUUGUCCGUUCAGUCCCCUCUAGACCAAGAAAGAGCGAAUGCUGUGGCGCCGGAUCGAGAGCACCAUGCAGCUGCUGCAGCGCCGUGACCCCGACAGCUUCGCGGAGCGUCGUGCAGCUGCUGAGCAGGUACGUGGUCGAGGAAGUGAACACCAAUUUCAGCUAUGUAGUGUUGUUUGAUGAAUGAGAAUGUUUCAUACUUUAUUAUUAAGCUAAAUAUUGGUUUCACACUUUUACUUCAUAGAUAUGGUUGCUUAACUUUUUUCCAAACUACGUGGUGUAUGUGGAUUUUUUUCUGUGCGGAUAAUGUAUGUCGACUUCUGAGUACAAAUUCAAAAUUCAUACAUGAAACCUUAAUUCAAUUCCUACCAUAUAAAACUAAUUUUGUGGUUUAGUUUUUAAGAGAUCAAAUAGGAUGUGUACAGGAAACUGAAGGAAAACGGCAACAAAAUCAGGAGCCAAAGGCACAGCCGCACAAGGUCAAAUCGGCCACGGGGAUCUUCUUCCUAUGCAGCUAUGACAAUCGUGGCAAGACCUUUGGUGAUGCGGCUCUUUUCAGUACUAAUUUCAGACUUUCUUAUCAAGGACCUUUCUCUGUUUUGCGUAAUUAUUAGGAUUUAAGGCCCAAUGAUUUUGAUAUAUCCAUCUAUACAAUCCACGGUGAAUGUUAAUUGAUUAAUCUUGCACAUCCAUUAAUUCAAUUAAUUUAACCCUACUAGAUAGAUACUCCAUUCAAUUCACUGUGAGAGUUUUGAGAACCCAUAGGCAUCAAAGUCUUGAUGUUUUGUUGAGGAACAAACAGUGAUCCAGCUUGGUCAGAUUAGAUAUAAGUUUGGUCUUUGCCCGAGCAACGGCUGCUGCUUGGAUUUUCCUUUCGCCCUCUCAUCCAACCGCAGGUACCGUCUGACUCCUUUUAUUUUCGUGAUUGAGUGAUGCUAAUUGAUUUCAUCAUAUGACCGUUGUUUCUCGGUUAGGGGCCUGUUAAGUUUUUUCAUCUUGAUGAUGUUGUGGUCGCCCCACUGAUCAAAUCCUCGCGCGCACGCAAUGUCCAACAGCUCAACGCCACGGUCUGCACGCCACCGCCGCUGCUUGAGUAGCUUGACGAACGAUUUAGGUAAUUUAUGUGUAUAUGAUAAUCCCUCAUUGCCAUGCAUAAAAAGACUUCGAUUUGCUUUUGGUUCAGUUUAGUUCAGCGUGGUGAUGCUCAGCCUAAUAAGGUGUUGUGUUGUUAUACUGAAAUAAAUGAUGUGCACUAAAAUUUUCAUGGAUUCAGCAGAGGAAAAUGAUCUCUAUGACUGAUUUUGCGAGCUGCAUCACAUACUUGCUAGCUUCCCAAAUGCAGUGAGCAAUGAAUACUUUCCAAAUGCAGCAGUGAAGACAGUCAUUUUCAAAGCAGCUAUACUCAUAGGUGUCCUGAAUCAUUUAAUUCCUGAAUAAAUGUUGGGAUGGUUCUCUUGCUUUUACCAUGGUAACUUUGUAAACUUCAGAAGGCCUAAAGUUGGCUGCACGCUCACUCGCUCAGCAAUGAACAAUGGAGACGCCAGCUUUGCCAUUGCUGAAGAACAUCAAUGUAUUCCUUACAUGAUUAUUAGUUACUUAAAUAUUUGUACGACAUCAGAGUACUUUUUAGUUACAGAUUUAGCAAUAACCAGGACCUUAUGUUCCUCCAGUUCAA